rnacentral:rRNA from 1 species
UACAGAGGGUGCAAGCGUUUGUUCGGAAUUAUUGGGCGUAAAGCGCGUGUAGGCGGCUUUGCAAGUCGGGUGUGAAAGCCCUCAGCUCAACUGAGGAAGUGCGCCCGAAACUGCAGAGCUUGAGUGCCGGAGAGGGUGGCGGAAUUCCCCAAGUAGAGGUGAAAUUCGUAGAUAUGGGGAGGAACACCGGUGGCGAAGGCGGCCACCUGGACCGGCAUUGACGCUGAGGAGCGAAAGCCAGGGGAGCAAACGGG